ACGGGGCGCAGCAGUGGGGAAUAUUGCACAAUGGGGGAAACCCUGAUGCAGCAACGCCGCGUGAGUGAAGAAGUCAUUCGUGAUGUAAAGCUCUAUCAGCAGGGAAGAAAAUGACGGUACCUGAGUAAGAAGCCCCGGCUAACUACGUGCCAGCAGCCGCGGUAAUACGUAGGGGGCAAGCGUUAUCCGGAUUUACUGGGUGUAAAGGGAGCGUAGACGGCCAGACAAGUCUGAAGUGAAAAUGCAGCGCUUAACGUUGGAAGUGCUUUGGAAACUGCCGGGCUGGAGUGAAGGAGGGGCAGGCG
rnacentral:rRNA from 1 species